ACCGUAACCAUGGAAAAGUUGUUUUUGUUUGUAGUCAGAAAAGUUUUAUUCGAUUCAGAUAUUUUGGACGGAUAUUCUAAAUAAAAGGGACCUGUUUCAUCGUUUCGUGAAGUCCUAUUUAAGGGUGAUGACACAAAUUUCACCAAACACUGCUCAGAUUACAUCGUUCCAUUGAAAAAUGAAACUGGAUUUUCCCCAUUUGUGUUAAGAUCGAGAACCUCUGCUAAACAUUAUGCUACGGUUAAUGCGAGAAUGGUCACGGUUCUUAGCAGAUUUUUGUAGUUUAUCUUUAAAUGUCCCUCCAGUUUAGAAUUUAUUGACCGUUGGGAUUAUGCACGUCGUCAUGAUAAAGAAAUUUGUCCAAAUUUUAGUUGAAGAGAUCUAGGUGUAAGAAGACAGUUACGACUACUUGUUCCGGCUGUAGAAUUCUGGUCUUCGGUGCCGGGAAGUAGCUAUGUUCGUGCCGGCAUCUUGGCUUACGGCGGUUCCUCGUCAGCUUGCCGGACGGAUGAUGAAAAACGGACGAGAUGGACGGAUGCUCAGAAUUUCGUCGUUGAAGAGGGCGAUUGGUUACCCCUUUCGUUACCCUGCAGCUUGUCCAACCUUCCAAUGCCAUUUAGGGCUGUAAACUUUUGUAAUAAUGUCAUAAUGAUAAAUAUACAGAUUUCUUUCGU